GAUCCGCAGGGGAGCCUGGGUAGGAGGGAGGCUGUGGUCUUGGGGUGGCAGUUCGGGCCCACAGCGGGGCAAGAGAUGUCCUACACCUUCCUCCCAUCCUUGCCCCGAAAGUCAUGGGCGCUGGGGUCCAAGGUGCCCUCACUAUUUGACCUUUCUUGCUGGUGGCUUUGGCGUGUCAUUCUGGUCCCCAGCCUGUUUCCUGGACUGUAAGUGGGGAUAAUAAUAGGUCACCCCUCCCCUGCAGGAUUAACCUCAGUGAUUGUUGCUGGCAUUCAGUGCAGCCCUGGGACCAGAGCACACCUGGGGUCCGGCAGAACUCUACCCUAGGGCCCUUCAUCUUCCGAGGCUAUGACUCAGCAUCUCCAGGCCCUUGGACCCUGGAGAAUGACAGCCACACAGAUGCACGUGGUCCAUGGUAACACAAAGUGCCAGAGCAUGGAGGAGGCGCCACAUCACGGUGAUGGGCUCGAGUGCUGGCCGUGCUGCUGGCGGUGCUGCUGGCGGUGAAGGUGGGGCUGUGAUUCUAUGUAUGUUAUGUAUGUUUCCAAAAAAGGGGUCCGUGGGGAUCCUGGAAGUGGACAGGCCAGGCCUGUGGAGUCUGUGGGGGAUCUCUAGGGUCUGUAGGAUCUGUGGGAGGAUGGGGCGGUGGGAAUGCCUGAAUCGGCAGAGUCGGUGGGGGCGAGAACCCUCCAGCCCAUUUCCCAGAUGCCAGAUGCCUCCUGCCACUGGGAGCCUCCUGCUUAGAGUACCCCAGCAGAGUUCCCUCUUCAGAGACUCCCCCACUCAGAACCCCUCGCACUUGGAGCCCCUCCCAGGAGCAGGACUGUAGCAACACCAAUUUCUGCGCCAUAGUGUCGGGCUUGAGGAAGGUGCCUGAGCCGGGUGAGGAGC